rnacentral:rRNA from 1 species
UACGUAGGGUGCAAGCGUUACUCGGAAUUACUGGGCGUAAAGCGUGCGCAGGCGGUUGUGCAAGACCGCUGUGAAAUCCCCGGGCUUAACCUGGGAAUGGCAUUGGUGACUGCACGGCUAGAGUGUGUCAGAGGGGGGUAGAAUUCCACGUGUAGCAGUGAAAUGCGUAGAGAUGUGGAGGAAUACCGAUGGCGAAGGCAGCCCCCUGGGAUAACACUGACGCUCAUGCACGAAAGCGUGGGGAGCAAACAGG